rnacentral:rRNA from 1 species
ACGGAGGCGCGGCGCACAGCUCAGUAACGCGUGGCUAACCUGCCCUCGGGACGGGAAUACCCCCGGGAAACUGGGGCUAAUCCCCGAUAGGUGAAGAACUCUGGAAUGAGUCUCCGCCCAAAAGACGCUUAAAUCAUGCUUUUAGGCGCCGCCCAAGGAUGGGGCCGCGACCGAUCAGGUAGUUGGUGAGGCAACGGCUCACCAAGCCUUUAACCGGUGCGGGCCGUGAGAGCGGGAGCCCGGAGAUGGGCACUGAGACAAGGGCCCAGGCCCUACGGGGCGCAGCAGUCGCGAAAACUUUGCAAUACACGAAAGUGUGACAGGGCUAUCCCGAGUGCCAUCCGCUGAGGAAGGCUUUUACCCAGUGUACAAAGCUGGGAGAAUAAGGAGAGGGCAAGACUGGUGUCAGCCGCCGCGGUAAUACCAGCUCUCCGAGUGGUGUGGAUGUUUAUUGGG